UUCUAUUCCAGGAAACUCAACCAAGCGGAACAAAACUAUGAUGUGGGAGACAGAGAAUUGCUAGCGAUCGUGUAUGCUCUCAAACACUGGAGGCACUGGCUGGAAGGGGCCCGAUGUCCGUUCCAGGUGUGGACAGAUCAUCGCAACCUGGCCUAUCUGAAGGAGGCCCGGCGGUUGAAUCCCAGACAGGCUAGAUGGGCUCUUUUCUUAACCCGCUUCGAUUUCACAGUCACAUACCGACCAGGCACAAAAAAUGGGAAGGCUGAUGCGCUGUCGCGCAUGCACGACGGAGAGGAGAGGCACGUUGUGGAGACGCCAGUGAUACCCCCCUCGCGCAUCGUCGCACCCAUCCAGUGGGAGGUGGAUACGGAAAUACAACAGGAACAGGUGAGACACCCCCCACCUCCUAACUGCCCUCCGGGGCGUCUCUAUGUUCCAGAGACCUACAGAGAUCAGCUUUUGGUCUGGGCACACACGUCUCCUGCCACAGGCCACCCAGGCAUUACGCGCACCUUGGGCACGCUACAGGCAAAAUAUUGGUGGCCCCAGAUGCCCCAGGACGUCCGCCAGUACGUCUCUUCCUGUUCGGUGUGCGCCCAAAGCACUACACCAAGACACCUACCCUACGGCCGGCGGUAAGGGGUCCUCUUGAUGCAACAGGGGGAGGCGCAGACCCCCCUGCUCCUUUGGAUGUCGACGGUGAGGCUGCUUAUGCUGUGCGUGACCUGCUG
ensembl:lncRNA